GCUGGCAUAACUCAGUUGGUAGAGUAACUCAUUCGUAAUGAGUAAGUCGGGGGUUCGAGUCCCCCUUCCAGCU
rnacentral:tRNA from 1 species